CAGCAGCCGCGGGAAUACAGAGGGUGCAAGCGUUAAUCGGAAUUACUGGGCGUAAAGCGCGCGUAGGUGGUUUGUUAAGUUGGAUGUGAAAUCCCCGGGCUCAACCUGGGAACUGCAUUCAAAACUGACUGACUAGAGUAUGGUAGAGGGUGGUGGAAUUUCCUGUGUAGCGGUGAAAUGCGUAGAUAUAGGAAGGAACACCAGUGGCGAAGGCGACCACCUGGACUAAUACUGACACUGAGGUGCGAAAGCGUGGGGAGCAAACAGGAUUAGAUACCCCUGUAGUCCCUGUCUCUUAUAC
rnacentral:rRNA from 1 species